rnacentral:rRNA from 1 species
GAUGAACGCUGACAGAAUGCUUAACACAUGCAAGUCAACUUGAAUUUGGGUUUUUUAACUUAGAUUUGGGUGGCGGACGGGUGAGUAGCGCGUAAAGAACUUGCCUCGCAGCUAGGGACAACAUUUGGAAACGAAUGCUAAUACCUGAUAUUAUGAUUAUAAGGCAUCUUAGAAUUAUGAAAGCUAUAUGCGCUGUGAGAGAGCUUUGCGUCCCAUUAGCUAGUUGGAGAGGUAACGGCUCACCAAGGCGAUGAUGGGUAGCCGGCCUGAGAGGGUGAACGGCCACAAGGGGACUGAGACACGGCCCUUACUCCUACGGGAGGCAGCAGUGGGGAAUAUUGGACAAUGGACCAAGAGUCUGAUCCAGCAAUUCUGUGUGCACGAUGACGUUUUUCGGAAUGUAAAGUGCUUUCAGUUGGGAAGAAAAAAAUGACGGUACCAACAGAAGAAGUGACGGCUAAAUACGUG